GAUCUUCUCCUUCAUGGGAGAUGAUUGAAAGAUGGUUUCGGCUAUCACUUACAGAUGGGCCCGCGGUGCAUUAGCUAGUUGGUGAGGUAACGGCUCACCAAGGCAACGAUGCAUAGCCGACCUGAGAGGGUGAUCGGCCACACUGGGACUGAGACACGGCCCAGACUCCUACGGGAGGCAGCAGUAGGGAAUCUUCCGCAAUGGACGAAAGUCUGACGGAGCAACGCCGCGUGAGUGAUGAAGGCUUUCGGGUCGUAAAACUCUGUUGUUAGGGAAGAACAAGUACGAGAGUAACUGCUCGUACCUUGACGGUACCUAACCAGAAAGCCACGGCUAACUACGUGCCAGCAGCCGCGGUAAUACGUAGGUGGCAAGCGUUAUCCGGAAUUAUUGGGGCGUAAAGCGCGCGCAGGCGGUUUCUUAAGUUCUGAUGGUGAAAGCCCACGGCUCAACCGUGGAGGGUCCAUUGGRAACUGGGGAACUUGAGUGGCAGAAGAGAAAAGCGGAAUUCCACGUGGUAGCGGUGAAAUGCGUAGAGAUUGUGGAGGAACACCAGUGGGCGAAGGGCGGCUUUUUGGUCUGUAACUGGACGCU
rnacentral:rRNA from 2 species